GUACCAGACCAAAGAAGACAAAAGUAAAACCCCAGGGACCUCAGCAGCAUCUCUCCUUGACAACACUGUGACAGGCACUGAAAAGGAGGCAGGGGCUUCCCACUGAGUCAUUUGGAAAGUUUCCAUCCUUCUCUUCCAACCUUCCACAGGCUCACUUUUUGGGAUCCCAGAUUACAGGAAUGCAGUCAUCGUGGCCAAGUCUCCAGCCUCGGCCAAGAGAGAAGCCAGUCCAUUGGAGAGGGAAGGAACAGAAGCACAGGGGCUAAAAGCAUGCAAAGGAGGAAGGAUAGCAUCUUCAACAAAUGGUGCUG